GCCUUCGUGGUGUAAUGGUCAGCACGCUCGACGCGUAUUCGAGAGGUACGUGGUUCGAGUCCCGGAGAAGGCG
rfam:Stegodyphus mimosarum contig50377, whole genome shotgun sequence.